GAUAAACGCUGGCGGCGCACAUAAGACAUGCAAGUCGAACGGACUUAACCAUUAGUUUACUAUUGGAGCGGUUAGUGGCGGACUGGUGAGUAACACGUAAGCAACCUGCCUAUCAGAGGGGAACAACAGUUAGAAAUGACUGCUAAUACCGCAUAUGCCUUAAUUACCACAUGGUAGUAGAGGGAAAGGAGAAAUCUGCUGAUAGAUGGGCUUGCGUCUGAUUAGAUAGUUGGUAAGGUAACGGCUUACCAAGUCGACGAUCAGUAGCCGGACUGAGAGGUUGAACGGCCACAUUGGGACUGAGAUACGGCCCAGACUCCUACGGGAGGCAGCAGUCGGGAAUAUUGCGCAAUGGAGGAAACUCUGACGCAGUGACGCCGCGUGCAGGAAGAAGGUUUUCGGAUUGUAAACUGCUUUAGACAGGGAAGAAACAAGACAGUACCUGUAGAAUAAGCUCCGGCUAACUACGUGCCAGCAGCCGCGGUAAUACGUAGGGAGCAAGCGUUAUCCGGAUUUAUUGGGUGUAAAGGGUGCGUAGACGGGAAUGCAAGUUGGUUGUGAAAUCCCUCGGCUCAACCGAGGAAUUGCAACCAAAACUAUAUUUCUUGAGUGCUGGAGAGGAAAGUGGAAUUCCUAGUGUAGCGGUGAAAUGCGUAGAUAUUAGGAGGAACACCAGUGGCGAAGGCGACUUUCUGGACAGUAACUGACGUUGAGGCACGAAAGUGUGGGGAGCAAACAGGAUUAGAUACCCUGGUAGUCCACACCGUAAACGAUGGAUACUAGGUGUAGGGGAUGAAUAAUCUUCUGUGCCGUCGCAAACGCAGUAAGUAUCCCACCUGGGGAGUACGGCCGCAAGGUUG
rnacentral:rRNA from 1 species